AUUGAACGCUGGCGGCAUGCCUUACACAUGCAAGUCGAACGGCAGCAUGAUCUAGCUUGCUAGAUUGAUGGCGAGUGGCGGACGGGUGAGUAAUACAUCGGAACGUGCCCUGUAGUGGGGGAUAACUAGUCGAAAGAUUAGCUAAUACCGCAUACGACCUGAGGGUGAAAGUGGGGACCGCAAGGCCUCAUGCUAUAGGA
rnacentral:rRNA from 1 species